rnacentral:rRNA from 1 species
GAUGAACGCUGGCGGCGUGCCUAAUACAUGCAAGUCGAGCGAACAGACGAGGAGCUUGCUCCUCUGACGUUAGCGGCGGACGGGUGAGUAAUACGUGGAUAACCUACCUAUAAGAAUGGGAUAACUUCGGGAAACCGGAGCUAAUACCGGAUAAUAUAUUGAACCGAAUGGUUCAAUAGUGAAAGACGGUUUUGCUGUGACUUAUAGAUGGAUCCGCGCCGCAUUAGCUAGUUGGUAAGGUAACGGCUUACCAAGGCGACGAUGCGUAGCCGACCUGAGAGGGUGAUCGGGCAGACUGUAACUGAGACACGUUCCAGACUCCUACGGGAGGCAGCAGUAGGGAAUCUUCCGCGAUGGGCGAAAGCCUGACGGAGCAACGCCGCGUGAGUGAUGAAGGUCUUCGGAUCGUAAAACUCUGUAAGUAGGGAGGAAGAAAAGUUUUUGUAACUAUGCACGUCUUGACGGUACCUAAACAAAAAGCCACGGCUAACUUCGUG